CCCACUGCCCCAUGUGGGCAAGCUGAUAGGAAAGCCCAAAUGUUCCCUCCUUUGACACCAUGGCAACUUGGAGUUCAAAGCACACACUUUGGCAUGAAAGACAACCUAGUGAAAAUCUUGACGUGCUCCUCCUUGGGCGACAUCAGGAUUCAGGACAGAAGGAAGACAUCAAUACCAGAUUGCAAGGAAUGGCAUGCAUUACCUUUAUUGUUGAUGACAUUUAACACAGAAAACCUGGGAGAGUUCCACAAAUUUUCAUGCAAAGCAACUGAAAUAUAAAUAUAAGAUGAUCUUAUGUCACUAUUUUCUGAAAAGCCUGGAAAGAAACAGCUACGGAAGUUGAAGAAAAAUGACA
rnacentral:lncRNA from 1 species